GACGAACGCUGGCGGCGUGCCUAACACAUGCAAGUCGAACGGACAGGCCCUGAUUUUGUGGGGUGCUCGAGUGGCGAAGGGGUGAGUAACACGUGAGUAACCCGCCCCUGACUUUGGGAUAUCAUCAGGAAACUGGGGAUAUUAUAGGAUAGGAGCUCUUGCAGCACGGUGGGCGUUGGAAAGUUUCGGCGGUUGGGGCUGGAAUAGCUGGUUACGAGCUUGUUGGUGGGGUAGUGGCUUACAAGGGUUUUGACGGGUAGCCGGCCUGGGAGGGUGAACGGCCACAAUGGGACUGAGGGACGGACCAGAAUGCUACGGGAGGCAGCAGGGGGGAAUAUUGCACAAUGGGCGGGAGUGUGAGGCAGCAACCCCGCGUGCGGGAUGACGGCCUUCGGGUUGUAAACCGCUUUCGCCUGUGACGAAGCCUGAGUGACGGUAAUGGAUAAAAAAGCACCGGCUAACUACGUG
rnacentral:rRNA from 1 species